rnacentral:rRNA from 1 species
AGGACGAACGCUGGCGGCGUGCUUAACACAUGCAAGUGGAGCGACGAACCAGGGCUUGCCCUGGGGCAGAGCCGCGAACGGGUGAGUAACACGUGGGUUACCUGCCUUGAUGACCGGGACAACCCGAGGAAACUCGGGCUAAUACCGGAUGUGCCCGCAAGGGGAAAGGAAGCUUCGGCCUCCGCAUCAAGAUGGGCCCGCGGCCCAUUAGCUUGUUGGUGAGGUAACGGCUCACCAAGGCUUCGAUGGGUAGCUGGUCUGAGAGGACGAUCAGCCACACUGGGACUGAGACACGGCCCAGACUCCUACGGGAGGCAGCAGUGGGGAAUCUUGCGCAAUGCGCGAAAGCGUGACGCAGCAACGCCGCGUGGGGGAAGAAGGCUUUCGGGUUGUAAACCCCUUUCAGUUGGGACGAAGCUUCUCCGGUGAAUAGCCGGACGGAGUGACGGUACCUUCACAAGAAGCACCGGCUAACUACGUGCCAGCAGCCAC